rnacentral:rRNA from 1 species
GACGAACGCUGGCGGCGUGCUUUAUACAUGCAAGUCGAACGAUGACGUUCCUUCGGGAAUGGAUUAGUGGCGAACGGGUGAGGAAAACGUGAGAAACCUGCCUUUCAUUCUGGGAUAACACCGUGAAACCGGUGCUACUACCGGAUACUUCGUCUUGGCGGCAUCGCCGAGCCGGGAAAACAUUCUGAUGAAAGAUGGUCUCGCGGCCUAUCAGCUAGUUGGUGAGGUAAAGGCUCACCAAGGCGACGACGGGUAGCCGGCCUGAGAGGGCGACCGGCCACACUGGGACUGAGACACGGCCCAGACUCCUACGGGAGGCAGCAAUAGGGAAUAUUGGGCAAUGGGCGCAAGCCUGACCCAGCGACGCCGCGUGAGGGAUGAAGGUCUUCGGAUUGUAAACCUCUUUCAGUAGGGAAGAAGCGAAAGUGACUGUACCUAAAGAAGAAGCACCGGCUAACUAUGUGCCAGCCGCCGCUGUAA